GAAGGUAUUGCUCAGUGGUAGAGUGUGUGCUUAGCAUGCAUGAAGUCCCAGGUUCAAUCCCCAGUACCUCCA
rnacentral:tRNA from 1 species